UCUUCUGCGCCUCGCCCGGCAGCCGGAAAUGGGCCUGGUACCGGCGCAACGCCACGUCCACUGCCAUGCCUGACAGAGCCCUUUUCAUGCAAGAAAUCCCGCGGCUAAAACCUGAACUAAAAUUGACAGCGCCUUAAACAAAUGACAAAGAGCGCCAUUAAGACAUUAGCGCCGCGUCUGAGGGACUUCUUUCAAGAAAAGGACUAUAUUUCUGGCUGGUGGUAGUGGUGCCGGUGCUCCUGCGAAGACGAGGACGACGAGGACUGUACGGAGGACAUCGACCCCCCGCGCACCACCGCGCCGCCGCACUCCGCGCGCCUUAGUGACACCGGGCUCUCCGCACUGCACACAGUUGAGGGUAGACUGUUAUUUAAUUUUAACUAACUCCUCCAAAAAGAUUUUAUGUUAGGUCGUUAAUAUUUAUUAAACAUAGUCAGA
rnacentral:lncRNA from 1 species